UUCCCUCAGCCUUCCUCCAGGGGCUGUUGCCUGUAGAGUGCCCUGGCAAUGCCUGAGGGUACAGGAAAAGCACACUUCCCUCCCCAGGAAGACUGUUUCCAUUGGAACCUACAAGGUGAGCUGAUAGG